rnacentral:rRNA from 1 species
AUUGAACGCUGGCGGCAGGCCUAACACAUGCAAGUCGAACGAGUGGCGGACGGGUGAGUAAUGUCUGGGAAACUGCCCGAUGGAGGGGGAUAACUACUGGAAACGGUAGCUAAUACCGCAUACCAUCGGAUGUGCCCAGAUGGGAUUGGCUCGUAGGUGGGGUAACGGCUCACCUGGGCGAAGCUCCCUAGCUGGUCUGAGAGGAUGACCAGCCACCAUGGAACUGAGACACGGUCCAGACUCCUACGGGGGGCAGCCGUGGGGAAUAUUGCACAAUUGGCGCAAGCCUGAUGCAGCCAUGCCGCGUGUAUGAAGAAGGCCUUCGGGUUGUAAAGUACUUUCAGCGAGGAGGCGUUACUCGCAGCAGAAGCACCGGCUAACUCCGUGCCAGCAGCCGCGGUAAUUC